rnacentral:lncRNA from 1 species
AACUUAAAAUAUUAUAUAAAAUAGGACAUCUAUGUAAAUAAGAAAAAAUAAUAAGGAUAUUUGAGACUUUUUUUCCCUAGCACCAAAUGAAUAGUGUUGCACUAUAUUUGGUGCAAUACUAUUCAUAACACCAUUUUGGUGUUAUAUUGGAGAAGUAUUUUACACCAAAAAUGGUGUAAAAGAUGAUUUAGUGUUAGGUUUAGUACUACAUUGGAGAUGCCUUUAACACCAUUUUGGUGUAACACCAACAAAAAAAAGUACAUUUUUCACACUAAAUUACUAUUUCAUCUCCAACCCAUUUACACCCAAAAAAAAUUCUUCUUUUUAUUCUUUUAAUUCUCGAGAAUUAAUUCAAUUAAUACAAUAAAUAUUACAAUU